CAGUUCGGAUUGUAGGCUGAAACUCGCCUACAUGAAGCUGGAGUUACUAGUAAUCGCAGAUCAGAAUGCUGCGGUGAAUGCGUUCCCGGGUCUUGUACACACCGCCCGUCACACCACGGAAGUUGGGGGCGCCCGAAGCCACUUAGCUAACCCAUUUGGGAAGCGAGUGUCGAAGGUGAAAUCAAUAACUGGGGUGAAGUCGUAACAAGGUAUC
rnacentral:rRNA from 1 species